UGGGGGAUAACGUAGCGAAAGCUACGCUAAUACCGCAUACGAUCUAUGGAUGAAANCGGGGGAUCGCAAGACCUCGCGCGAAUUGGAGCGGCCGAUAUCAGAUUAGGGUAGUUGGUGAGGUAAAGGCUCACCAAGCCGACGAUCUGUAGCUGGUCUGAGAGGACGACCAGGCCANACUGGGACUGAGACACGGCCCAGACUCCUACGGGAGGCAGCAGUGGGGAAUUUUGGACAAUGGGCGCAAGCCUGAUCCAGCAAUGCCGCGUGCAGGAUGAAGGCCUUCGGGUUGUAAACUGCUUUUGUACGGAACGAAACGGUGAGCUCUAAUACAGUUUGCUAAUGACGGUACCGUAAGAAUAAGCACCGGCUAACUACGUG
rnacentral:rRNA from 1 species